rnacentral:rRNA from 1 species
AGAGAGAGACAUGCGCGCAUAUCAAUAAGCGGAGGAAAAGAAACUAACAAGGAUUCCCCUAGUAACGGCGAGUGAAGCGGGAAGAGCUCAAAUUUGAAAUCUUAAAGGGUUUCCCUUUACGAAUUGUAGUUUAAAGAAGUGUUUUCUGUUGAGGUUUUGGUAAAAGUUCUUUGGAAUAGGACAUCAUAGAGGGUGAGAAUCCCGUAUUUGACCUUUACUUUCAACUUUGUGAUACACUUUCAAAGAGUCGGAUUGUUUGGGAAUGCAGUCCAAAAUGGGUGGUAAAUUUCAUCUAAAGCUAAAUAUUGGCGAGAGACCGAUAGCGAACAAGUACCGUGAGGGAAAGAUGAAAAGAACUUUGAAAAGAGAGUUAAACAGUACGUGAAAUUGUCAAAAGGGAAGCGUUUGACACCAGUGUUGUUUUUCUGAAAAUCAAUUAAAGAACUGUUUAUGCUAAGCUGUUUAGACUUUAUCAGCUAUCUGUUUAGUUUUGAGCUUUUCUUUAAUGCACUUUUCAGUUAACAAGUCAACAUCAAUUUCUUUUGCUGUAAAAAAGCUUGAGGAAGGUGGCUUGAGAUUCGUCUUAAGUGUUUAUAGCCUCUUGCCUAUGCAGUCGGAGAGAUUGAGGUCUGCAGCGUAGAUCCUUCGGGGCUAAAUGCAUAUGUGCUAAGUUAUAGCAUUUUAUAGACAACUUGUUGACUAUGAUUUGUCUUGUAGCUUACUCGCUUAUGUUAUUUUACCUACGCUUAGGAUGUUGAGCGCAUGUCUCUCUCU